UAGAGUUUGAUCAUGGCUCAGGAUGAACGCUAGCGGCAGGCCUAACACAUGCAAGUCGAGGGGUAACGGAGAAGCUUGCUUCUGCUGACGACCGGCGCACGGGUGCGUAACGCGUAUGCAACCUACCUCAUACUGGAGAAUAGCCCUUGGAAACGAGGAUUAAUACUCCAUAGUAUCAUUCUUUCGCAUGUUAGAAUGAUUAAAGAAUUUCGGUAUGAGAUGGGCAUGCGUCCCAUUAGCUAGUUGGUGAGGUAACGGCUCACCAAGGCGACGAUGGGUAGGGGGCCUGAGAGGGUGGUCCCCCACACUGGUACUGAGACACGGACCAGACUCCUACGGGAGGCAGCAGUGAGGAAUAUUGGUCAAUGGAGGCAACUCUGAACCAGCCAUGCCGCGUGAAGGAUGACGGCCCUAUGGGUUGUAAACUUCUUUUAUAUGGGAAGAAACUUAUCUACGUGUAGAUAACUGACGGUACCAUACGAAUAAGGAUCGGCUAACUCCGUGCCAGCAGCCGCGGUAAUACGGAGGAUCCAAGCGUUAUCCGGAUUCAUUGGGUUUAAAGGGUCCGUAGGCGGAUUUUUAAGUCAGUGGUGAAAGCCGGCAGCUCAACUGUCGAACUGCCAUUGAUACUGGAAAUCUUGAGUACAAAUGAAGU
rnacentral:rRNA from 1 species